ACGAAUAUGUUCGCCACCACAGAAACAUAAAUAAAUAUAUUGUAUUUAUUGUAUUUUUAUGAUUUAUGAUAAAACUACGCAAAUAUUCACUGUUUUUAUUAUAAAUCAUAAAAAUACAAUAAAUACAAUAUAUUUAGUUAUGUUUCUGUGGUGGCGAACAUAUUCGU
rnacentral:miRNA from 1 species